rnacentral:misc_RNA from 1 species
CCGUUGGCUUGCAAAAACACGACCGUCGUGCGCGUGAUCGAACGCUGCCGGGGAGGCGCUGCCGCCUCGGCACAACGGCCCGGCCCUCGCGCCCUCGGGUCGCGUUGGUCGUGUGCCGAAUACGGCGCGGGCUGACGCCAAGGAACACGAGACGCUGAGGCGGCGGGCGGAGCGCCGAGGCGCACGGCCCGCUGCCGACGCAAAGAAAAAAC